UCAUAUGAACACGCUUGAGGUGCUGACCGGUUUUCGGACCGGUCGGAGAAUUGGGAAGCCGGUUUGAUGCCGGCGCUGCCCCCGCAACGGUAGCAGAACUCAAAUGCGACGGAAGUCCACUGGGCAAGAUGCCUGGGAAGGAGUCGCAGGUCCGAAAGGACGGUUCUGGAGCCCGGAAACCAGCCUCGACGUUUUGAACUCG
rnacentral:ncRNA from 2 species